rnacentral:rRNA from 1 species
ACGGCGAGUGAAGCGGCAACAGCUCAAAUUUUAAAGCUGGCGUCUUUGGCGCCCGCGUUGUAAUUUGGAGAGGCAUCUUCGGUUUGGGCGCCAGCCUAUGUUCCUUGGAACAGGACGUCACAGAGGGUGAGAAUCCCGUGCCUGGCUGGCUGUCCCUUUCCAUGUGAAGUGCCUUCGACGAGUCGAGUUGUUUGGGAAUGCAGCUCAAAAUGGGUGGUAAAUUUCAUCUAAAGCUAAAUAUUGGCGGGAGACCGAUAGCGCACAAGUAGAGUGAUCGAAAGAUGAAAAGCACUUUGAAAAUAGAGUUAAAAAGUACGUGAAAUUGUUGAAAGGGAAGCGCUUGAGACCAGACUCGGCCGGAGAUGAUCAGCCGUCCUUCUGGGCGGUGCACUCGUUUCCGGCCGGGCCAGCAUCGGUUGAGACGGCGGGAUAAAGGCCCGGGGAAUGUGGCUCCUUUCGGGGAGUGUUAUAGCCCCGGGCGCAAUGCCGCCAGCCUCGACCGAGGACCGCGCUUAAUUGCUAGGAUGCUGGCGUAAUGGUCUUCAGCGACCCGUCUUGAAACACGGACCAAGGAGUCUAACAUCUAUGCGAGUGUUUGGGUGUCAAACCCUUGCGCGUAAUGAAAGUGAACGGAGGUGGGAACCCCUCGCGGGGCGCACCAUCGACCGGUCCUGAUGUCUUCGGAUGGAUCUGAGUAGGAGCAUAGCUGUUGGGACCCGAAAGAUGGUGAACUAUGCCUGAAUAGGGUGAAGCCAGAGGAAACUCUGGUGGAGGCUCGCAGCGGUUCUGACGUGCAAAUCGAUCGUCAAAUUUGGGUAUAGGGGCGAAAGACUAAUCGAACCAUCUAGUAGCUGGUUCCUGCCGAAGU